UACGUAGGGUGCAAGCGUUAAUCGGAAUUACUGGGCGUAAAGCGUGCGCAGGCGGUUUGUAAGCCAGAUGUGAAAGCCCCGGGCUCAACCUGGGAACUGCAUUUGGGACUGCAAAGCUGGAGUACGGCAGAGGGAGGUGGAAUUCCACGUGUAGCAGUGAAAUGCGUAGAGAUGUGGAGGAACACCGAUGGCGAAGGCAGCCUCCUGGGCUAGUACUGACGCUCAUGCACGAAAGCGUGGGGAGCAAACAGG
rnacentral:rRNA from 1 species